CAAAGGUUCACUGAGACAGCAGUCAGUCAUGAAAAAGGAAUUUGAACCAAGAUAACGUUAGUUACAUUUUAGCCACAUGUUCCUGAAGCCUGAGCCCUAACAGUUGAACCAAUGUGCUUUAGCCUUUCAUCAUACAUUAAAACCUAACCAAAUCAGCAUAGACUUGGUGUCAUUCAAAGAAUCUGCAUACACAGACACCGCACAGACAUCUUUGGACUACUGACAGAAUUAAAGGGUUCCAGGACCAAGUGAGACAUUUCACUUUCUUAACCAUCCUUGUUCUGUGUUUGGAGAGGCCAAAGGGUGGAAGUGGAAAUCCAGGGAGAAGAUGUAAUGGAAGAAAUUGCUCACCUGUUUCAUGCAGCAAUAGCUAGCCUUAACGGAGCUCUGACUACAGGCCAGGAAUUUCUCUUUGAUAGGAUUUCGUUGACUGCUCGUUAACAGUCCUAUCAGGUAAUGGUGAUUAUAAUAUCCAUUUUACAGUUGUGGCAAUUGAGGCACAGAGAAGUUAAGUGACUCUCCCAACAUCACACAACUAGUACAGGACCUAUACCUCUUGUGCAAGAUUAUAGACAUCCUCCCCCCCUUUCCCCCCAGCUUCGUGGCUCAGGGUGACCUAAGCAAACUGCUACAGCAGGAAGGGGAGAGGAGAUCAGGCUGUGGUAUACUGGAGGGGAAAAGCAAAGGGAGGCAUUUAAAGUCAAGGCAAGGACAAUGUCUCCAAGGACAGUGCAAUUUCUCAUUAGUGAAGUAUUGGUCAAGCUCCCCAGCCUCAGAGGCCCGUCCAGGGUUUCUUUGCUGCCAGGGUCACAUUGCUCAACUGCCUGUAGGGGUGCUGCAGCCCUGGAAGGAAGCCCAGGCUGUAGGGCUGCCAGGACCCGGCUGGUCUUCUACUCAAAGACAGAGGAGAACGUCAUUCCGGGCAGGCCUUGAGGGAAUAAAAUCGGUCGUCAUGCUGGUGUGAAUAU
rnacentral:lncRNA from 1 species